AACGCUAGCUACAGGCUUAACACAUGCAAGUCGAGGGGCAGCAUGAACAAAGCUUGCUUUGUUCGAUGGCGACCGGCGCACGGGUGAGUAACGCGUAUCCGACCUGCCCAUGACUCGGGCACAGCCGCUCGAAAGAGCGAUUGAUUCCCGAUACGUCGUAUGAGUAGAUCAUAUGAUGAAAGAUUCAUCGGUCAUGGAUGGGGAUGCGUAGGAUUAGGUAGUAGGCGGGGUAACGGCCCACCUAGCCGACGAUCCUUAGGGGUUCUGAGAGGAAGGUCCCCCACACUGGUACUGAGACACGGACCAGACUCCUACGGGAGGCAGCAGUGAGGAAUAUUGGUCAAUGGGCGGAAGCCUGAACCAGCCAAGUAGCGUGAAGGAUUACUGCCCUACGGGUUUUAAACUUCUUUUAUGCGAGAGUAAUUUGCGCCACGUGUGGUGUAUUGCAAGUAUCGCAUGAAUAAGCAUCGGCUAACUCCGUGCCAGCAGCCGCGGUAAUACGGAGGAUGCGAGCGUUAUCCGGAUUUAUUGGGUUUAAAGGGAGCGUAGGCGGGAUAUUAAGUCAGUCGUCAAAGCCUGUGGCUCAACCACAGCCCGCGAUUGAUACUGGUGACCUUGAGUGCGGAUGAGGUGGAUGGAAUUCGUGGUGUAGCGGUGAAAUGCUUAGAUAUCACGAAGAACUCCGAUUGCGAAGGCAGCGUACCAAUCCGUAACUGACGUUGAUGCUCGAAAGUGUGGGUAUCAAACAGGAUUAGAUACCCUGGUAGUCCACACGGUAAACGAUGGAUACUCGCUGUUGGCGAUACAAUGUCAGCGGCCAAGUGAAAACGUUAAGUAUCCCACCUGGGGAGUACGCCGGCAACGGUGAAACUCAAAGGAAUUGACGGGGGCCCGCACAAGCGGAGGAACAUGUGGUUUAAUUCGAUGAUACGCGAGGAGCCUUACCCGGGCUUAAAUUGCAGAGGAUAGUCUCAGAGAUGGGAUCUUCUUCGGACCUCUGUGAAGGUGCUGCAUGGUUGUCGUCAGCUCGUGCCGUGAGGUGUCGGCUUAAGUGC
rnacentral:rRNA from 1 species